AGGCCCCCGCGAGAGGACGGGAGGGAGCAGAGUAACGCUCCCCUUAUUCCUCAAAGUCUGCUACGCAAGGAGUCAGCCCCGUAACCCCUUCUAGACGGUAGCGAAAACGUAGGCCGAGGCGUACGUUACCUGCUUCUUUUGCCCCCCAUGAUGUACAUCUCUGGCUAGCUUGGAGCUAUGCCUGUGCUGGCCGGACAGAUGGCAUGCUCCCUCAGCAAGCCCAGUCAUAAGUGCCUUUCCCGUGCUGUUGGAUUCCACCAAACGACAGAGAAAAAAGUCACUGUCUUGUGAGCCACUACACACUGUGCUCUCCAGGCUUUCCGAAUGGUGUGUUUCACUGGUUUCUCUAAGACAAUUAUCUUCUUUCUCCUUACUGCAAAACUUACACUGAUUUGAGCUGUAUUAAAAAGUAAUCAUUUAUAUAAGUUCUCUAAUCAAACACAGUUAAUGGAGUUUUGUUUCUAGAAAGGAACACAGAUUGCAUCAGGGAAAUCCUUCCUAUAUGACAUGCUACUAAUAGUAUUAAUAACGCUACAUUGUGCUGAAUCAGCAUGCUCCAAGUCUAAUGAUUACUCAGCUCAAACUUAGUCUGCAAGCAAAUGAAGAGUAAAAAUGGAAAAACGCUGAAAGAAGUGGAUUCUUUCUUCUUACACUCUUGCAUUUUUUUUUUACUUUAUUACUACAAUGUGAAAAGUUUGAUAGAAGUAAUCCAGCUUGAUUUUAAAAUCUAAACAAAGUUGCAAUUCUUUGUGGUUUCUCAGUAAUACUCAGUUAAUGUGGUUUUCUCACCUCCAAAGGCUUCAGUGAUUGCCAUGCUUUCAAUCCCACCACCCAGAAGUUUACUGGAGAAAGGGAUGGGAUUAUGGUAUAGUUAAACCCACAAAAUCACAAGAAGAAAGUAAAAAAGAGAAAAUUUUACUACUUUAAGUAAAAUUAUUUCUGCUCUAAAGCCCCUCACUCAGUGCAAUUAAGUGCAGGGCACUAAAUGAUCACAGAUUCAUAAAACAUUAAUUCUGCCUUAAACUCCCUUGCUGUGUGCAAGAGAAAGAUCUAUCGAAAUUAUUACUGGAAAGAAGAGAGAAUAUACCUUUGAAAAGAUAACAUUCCGUAAAAAUAUCUUAAGGGAGGUCUUGAAGAUAUACUUUUGACCUGAGACCUGCGGUUGUUCUGACUAGGAUGCAAACACUGUUUAUUUACAAUGGCUGUACAAAGUCUGGUUUCGCCUCAGAAAAGGAGAUGGUUUUGUUACUUGCUAAUGCAGGCUUCUUUGAGCCAGCACUAGCUCCAAAUGCAAAGUAGCCUACGUGUCCUAGCUGAAUAUUUAUUUAUAUUUUUGUGUCUUAUUAAAGACAAUAAAUACAAUUAUUGAAACA